rnacentral:rRNA from 1 species
AGAGUUUGAUCAUGGCUCAGAGCGAACGCUGGCGGUGUGCUUAAGACAUGCAAGUCGUGCGGUAUCCUUCGGGGUACAGCGGCGGACGGGUGAGUAACACGUGGAUAACCUGCCUGAUUCCCCGGGAUAACAGGCCGAAAGGCCUGCUAAUACGGGAUAAGCUCACGGAGUCGCAUGGCUCCGGGAGAAAAGGUCCUUUACGGGACUGGGAUCAGAGGGGUCCGCGGCCCAUUAGCUAGUUGGGGGGUAACGGCCCACCAAGGCGACGAUGGGUAGCCGGCCUGAGAGGGCGACCGGCCACACUGGGACUGAGACACGGCCCAGACUCCUACGGGAGGCAGCAGUCGGGAAUUUUGGGCAAUGGCCGCAAGGGCUGACCCAGCAACACCGCGUGAGUGAAGAAGGCCUUCGGGUUGUAAAGCUCUGUUGCCCGUGAAGAACGGUGCAGUCAGGAAAUGGGCUGUACUUGACGGUAGCGGGAGAGGAAGCCCCGGCUAACUACGUGCCAGCAGCCGCGGUAAUACGUAGGGGGCGAGCGCUGUCCGGAUUUAUUGGGCGUAAAGGGCGUGUAGGCGGUUUCUUAAGUCGGGGGUGAAACCCCAGGGCUCAACCCUGGGACUGCCUCCGAUACUGGGGAACUUGAGUGCUCUAGAGGGCAGUGGAAUUCCCGGGUGUAGCAGUGAAAUGCGUAGAGAUCCGGAGGAACACCAGUGGCGAAGCGACUGCCUGGGGAGUACUGACGCUGAGCGCGAAAGCUGGGGAGCAACGGGAUAGAUACCCCGGUAGUCCAGCGUAAACGAUGAUGCUAGUGUAGGGGUAUCGACCCCCCCUGUGC